rnacentral:rRNA from 1 species
CCUACGGGAGGCAGCAGUGGGGAAUAUUGCACAAUGGGGGAAACCCUGAUGCAGCGACGCCGCGUGAGUGAAGAAGUAUUUCGGUACGUAAAGCUCUAUCAGCAGGGAAGAAAAACCGGUCUUAGGGCCGCCAGACGGUACCUGACUAAGAAGCCCCGGCUAACUACGUGCCAGCAGCCGCGGUAAUACGUAGGGGGCAAGCGUUAUCCGGAUUUACUGGGUGUAAAGGGAGCGUAGACGGCAGCGCAAGUCUGGAGUGAAAUGCCGGGGCCCAACCCCGGAACUGCUUUGGAAACUGUGCAGCUGGAGUGCAGGAGAGGUAAGCGGAAUUCCUAGUGUAGCGGUGAAAUGCGUAGAUGUUAGGAGGAACACCAGUGGCGAAGGCGACUAUCUGGCACAUAACUGACGCUGAGGAGCGAAAGCGUGGGUAGCAAACAGGAUUAGAUACCCCUGUAGUC